rnacentral:rRNA from 1 species
GACGAACCGUGCGAACGUUUAUUCGGAAUCACUGGGCUUAAAGCGCGUGUAGGCGGGCCGCCGCGUCGGCUGCUGAAAUCCCCCGGCUCAACCGGGGAACGGGCACCGAUACGGGCGGCCUCGAGGGGGGUAGGGGGGACUGGAACUUCCGGUGGAGCGGUGAAAUGCGUUGAGAUCGGAAGGAACGCCCGUGGCGAAAGCGAGUCCCUGGACCCUUUCUGACGCUGAGACGCGAAAGCCAGGGGAGCGAACGGGG